AAAAACGAUGACAAAAUCAUUCGCAGUAUACUGGUACAUUAUUUCUUUCCAUGAGCAUCUCAUGUCUGUGCCAAGCUGGAGUGAAAUCCUUCAAAAAUAUCACCUGUUUUAGAAUUGAAGAAAAAUGAAGAGAAGGUUGAAAUUGCAAGCAUAUUUCAAAUGAAGACUCGGACGACUACCAGUGCAGGCCAUUGAGGGGCGCAGACCGUCUGCCGGCCGGCCAAGUCCCUCGACCAGCUCGGCCAAAUACCAGUGCAGCCUGUUGAGGGGGACAUACUGCUGGCCGGCCAAGUCCCAUGACCACUUCAGCCUACUACCAGUACAACCUGUCAAGGGGCGCAGACCGCUGGCCGGACGGCCAAGUCCCUCGACCAGCUUGGCCAACUACUGGUGCAGCCCGUCUUUAAAUAAUCCAGAUAAAAAUCACAACUGUACAACCACAAGGAUACCUGUGCAAGGACUUGGGUGGUAUGCAGCUAAGAACUGUGACCGAAAUCACUGCGUAGAACCUUCUUUUUUUUUUUUUUGAAGUACAGCUAGAUCAUGGCGCUAACAUGAAAAACUAGAGAGUUAAAAUCUAGGCAGUGAUGCCUAUUUAUAAAAGUUCACAAGAGUAGAAUGCAGUUUACUAGGUAAUUUUACAAAAACUCUUAUGACUAUAUGCUAAAAAAAUGUAUUUUAAGAAAACAACCAUUCUGAGAAAUUUCAAUCUGUUAUGAUGGCUUGAUGAAAAAUAAGGUAGACUUGAAAACAUGAAUGUGCAUUCAUUCAAUUGUAUUUGACAAUGAACCAAGCUCUCUUAAUCAUGUUUAUAAAAUAAAAUUGUAAGUGCUUUUAAUUUUUUUUAAAUAAUCUUUUUUGUAAAAAUUUUAAUAAUCUUUUUGUAAAAAUUUUAAUGAGUAGCUUUUUUAAAGCCUAUAAUUGAGUAAUUCCACCACAGGUUAACAUGAAGUGUAUAAUUUUAUUGUAACUUUUAUUAGGUAUAACUUUUAUUAGGUAUAACUUUUUGUAGUUAUAACUU